UGGAUAUCGAGCAGAACGGAGGAAGAAGAUGGAGGCCGGUACCUGAAAAGAAGAUGGCGUGGGGAACGGCGACCAUCGGAGACAUCCAGCAGAGAUCACGGCGCAAGGGAAGGGAACAUUAACCCAUACUGAUCUGUGCUGCCUUCGGACCUCCAGGAAAUGGAAAUUUCAGGUAAUGCCAGAUAAAGAUACAAAAAUGUGCUCAAGAAAUGUGGAUGGCAUUUUAUGAAUUUGACAGCCUUAUAAAUAAAAUAUCUGGGAAAAAGUCUACUAUCUACAUACCAUGAAGAAUAAA